ACCGCGGGAAACUGCGGGUAAUCCCCAGCGAUAUACCGAGUCGGCCUCGACGCGGUAUCAAAGCUUCGGCGUCGUGGGACGGGCCGUUGUGGUAUUAGCUAGUUGGCGGGGUGAUGGCCCACCAAGGCUCUGAUGCCUACCGGGCGUGCGAGCGUGGCCCGGCACACUGGGACUGAGACACUGCCCAGACUCCUACGGGAGGCUGCAGUCGAGAAUCUUCGGCAAUGGGCGCAAGCCUGACCGAGCGACGCCGCGUGGAGGAUGAAGGCCUUCGGGUUGUAAACUCCUGUCGAGGGAGAGGAAGGCGCAAGCUUGACCGACCCCUGGAGGAAGCACGGGCUAAGUUCGUGCCAGCAGCCGCGGUAAGACGAACCGUGCGAACGUUAUUCGGAAUCACUGGGCUUAAAGCGCGUGUAGGCGGA
rnacentral:rRNA from 1 species